rnacentral:rRNA from 1 species
CCUACGGGAGGCAGCAGUGAGGAAUAUUGGUCAAUGGACGAGAGUCUGAACCAGCCCAGUAGCGUGAAGGAUGACUGCCCUAUGGAUUGUAAACUUCUUUUAUAAAGGAAUAAAACGAGGCACGUGUGCCUUUUUGCAUGUACUUUAUGCAUAAGGAUCGGCUAACUCCGUGCCAGCAGCCGCGGUAAUACGGAGGAUCCGAGCGUUAUCCGGAUUUAUUGGGUUUAAAGGGAGCGUAGAUGGGUUGUUAAGUCAGUUGUGAAAGUUUGCGGCUCAACCGUAAAAUUGCAAUUGAGACUGGGAGUCUUGAGUAUAGUUGAGGUAGGCGGAAUGCGUGGUGUAGCGGUGAAAUGCUUAGAUAUCACGAAGAACCCCGAUUGCGAAGGCAGCUUACUAAACUGUGACUGACAUUGAUGCACGAAAGUGUGGGUAUCAAACAGGAUUAGAUACCCUGGUAGUC